UACGUAGGGUGCAAGCGUUGUCCGGAAUUAUUGGGCGUAAAGAGCUCGUAGGCGGUCUGUCGCGUCUGCUGUGAAAACCGUCGGGGCUUAACCCCGGGCCUGCAGUGGGUACGGGCAGACUAGAGUGCGGUAGGGGAGACGUGGAAUUCCGUGGUGGUAGCGGUGGAAUGCGCAGAUAUCAGGAGGAACACCGAUGGCGAAGGCAGAUCUCUGGGCCGUAACUGACGCUGAG
rnacentral:rRNA from 1 species